GACGGACGCUGGCGGCGUGCUUAACACAUGCAAGUCGAACGCUGAAGCUCAGCUUUUGUUGGGUGGAUGAGUGGCGAGCGGGUGAGUAACACGUGAGUAACCUGCCUCCUUCUUUGGGAUAACGCCCGGAAACGGGUGCUAAUACUGGAUAUUCACUGGUCUUCGCAUGGGGGUUGGUGGAAAGGGUUUUUCUGGUGGGGGAUGGGCUCGCGGCCUAUCAGCUUGUUGGUGGGGUGAUGGCCUACCAAGGCUUUGACGGGUAGCCGGCCUGAGAGGGUGACCGGUCACAUUGGGACUGAGAUACGGCCCAGACUCCUACGGGAGGCAGCAGUGGGGAAUAUUGCACAAUGGGCGCAAGCCUGAUGCAGCGACGCCGCGUGAGGGAUGGAGGCCUUCGGGUUGUGAACCUCUUUCGCUCAUGGUCAAGCCGCAACAAUGGUUGUGGUAAGGGUAGUGGGUAAAGAAGCGCCGGCUAACUACGUG
rnacentral:rRNA from 1 species